rnacentral:misc_RNA from 1 species
GAGCAAAGACGUGAUCCCCUCCUUUUGAGCACGACAAGCGCUUCUUGUCAGGCGCCCACACAAGACACCUGCAUUUUUCAGAGUAAGCCCGUACAACGGGGCCUUAGCUCAGCUGGGAGAGCACCUGCUUUGCAAGCAGGGGGUCGUCGGUUCGAUCCCGACAGGCUCCACCACUGAGAACGACUUUUGGGUCUGUAGCUCAGGUGGUUAGAGCGCACCCCUGAUAAGGGUGAGGUCGGUGGUUCGAGUCCUCCCAGACCCACCAAAACCAGGCUGGCUAUUACUUCUGAAACCUGCAAUCGCACACUAAAAGAUUAUUUUGAAACGGAUCGGCGCUGAAGCCGGCUUCGUGUUCUUUAACAACUUGUGACGUAGCGAGCGUUUUAGAUUUUCAUCUAGACGUGUCGUUGAGGCUAAGGCGGGGACCUCGAGUCCCUAAUAAAUUGAGUCGUAUGUUCGCGUUAAUGGCUUUGUACCCCAUUAACACGGCAUGUAACUCCGAGGCGACUUGGGGUUAUAUG